UGCUUAUAAAAGAAUUAGAGGAGCAAAAACAAGUUUGUACCUGCAAUCCAUUAUUUUAGCAUCUGUAUACCCACAUUAUGAUCCAAUGACAACCAUUCCACCAUCACCUUGCUCUUGCUCACUUUCUAGUCAAGGACUCCAAUCGAGUCCCCUAAAUUUCCCACAUACAAAACAUCGAUCAUUUGACAUUAAGCCAAAACCCCAACGUAAUCACACAAAAUCUAUGAAACUAGAAUACAUAAUCCAUUAUUCAUAAUCCCUCACUACAGCUCUACACAUUACUACAAAAAAAAAAAAUAGAGAACAUGCAAUGUAGCCCAGUGAGGCAAUUUAACAAACAUCUGGUGUGCGUAAGAUCAACAUUCGACAAACAUCCCAGGAUGAAGUACCAGCCCUUCUCAAUUUAGUCCUCGACUCCUUUGAUAUGAACACAACCCACUAAACCCAAUACCCAUUGUGAACAUAACCUACCACACAAACCCCGCAUUCCCAAUAUGAACAAAACCCAGCAAAAGCAAAUUUCAAAGAAAAUUCCAUAUUUGAACCCUAAUUUCCCAAACCCAAUCCAAGCAAACACUAAAUCAGCUUACAAUGAGUCAAAGAGCUUACCGGCAGAGACAACAGGGAACCCAAAAUCUAUGAGUGCGCACUGAAGUUCGUCUUUUGUCAAACCCUAAUUCUGUGGCCGGCCGGUGGAUCGAGGGUGGGAGAUCGAAAUGGGUUCUUCGUGGGGAUGAGGUUCUUUUGGUUCAAGGGACUGAAGCGUUGAGAUUUUAGUUAGCUCGAGGACAGAUCUGGUUGAGGGCGCUGGGUUUUCAGUUUUCCCUUUAUUGAGAAUGAGAGUUGUCGGGGAGAGAGAAUGACAAUUGAGUUCAAACCAAAAAGAAUAGAUAGUUGAUUUAAGUAAAAACCACCGCCAGACAAAUUUUUUUGUUUUAAAGAGACGAUACUCUUCUGUCGUCUUAAAAUGUUCAUAUCAAUUGUAAAAUUUCUCUUGUUUUUAAGACAACAAAUGGUUGUCGUCUCAUGAACACGCUAGUUUUAACUGUCUGCGGGUUGCUACAUUCAGACGACAGAAUUUUAAAUGUCUGUCGUAAAAUUUAAUCAGAUGACAGUAAAAACGACUUCUGUCGUCUGAUAUCUGUCUUAUGAUUGCGAAAUUGGCGUAGUGUAUAUUUUUUCCCUCCCCCCUCACAGAAUUCAUCUGAUCCAAAUCGAGUUUUGGAAGCUUUUUUCAUGAAUUUGAUCGAUCUUCAAGAGCUGCUUCUCUCCUAAUUGAUAUGUAACUAUU
rnacentral:lncRNA from 1 species